rnacentral:rRNA from 1 species
UACGGGGGGAGCAAGCGUUGUUCGGAUUUACUGGGCGUAAAGGGCGCGUAGGCGGCCACCGCAAGUCAGUUGUGAAAUCUCUGGGCUUAACCCAGAAAGGUCAACUGAUACUGCGGGGCUAGAGUGCAGAAGGGGCAACUGGAAUUCUCGGUGUAGCGGUGAAAUGCGUAGAUAUCGUGAGGAACACCAGAGGCGAAGGCGGCUACCUGGACAAUUGCUGACGCUCAGGCACGAAAGCGUGGGGGAGCAAAAGGG